CUACGGAGCAGCAGUGGGCAUAUUGCACAAUGGCGCAAAGCCUGAUGCAGCCAUGCAGCGUGUGGGAAGAAUGCUUAGGAUGUAAAGCACUUCAGCGAGGAGGAAGGUAGUGUGUUAUAGCACAUUGCAUUGACGUACUCGCAGAAGAAGCACCGGCUAACUCCGUGCAGCAGCCGCGGUAAUACGGAGGGGUGCAAGCGUUAAUCGGAAUUACUGGGCGUAAAGCGCACGCAGGCGGUUGUUAAGUCAGAUGUGAAAUCCCCGCGCUUAACGUGGGAACUGCAUUUGAAACUGGCAAGCUAGAGUCUUGUAGAGGGGGGUAGAAUUCCAGGUGUAGCGGUGAAAUGCGUAGAGAUCUGGAGGAAUACCGGUGGCGAAGGCGGCCCCCUGGACAAAGACUGACGCUCAGGUGCGAAAGCGUGGGGAGCAAACAGGAUUAGAUACCCUGGUAGUCCACGCUGUAAACGAUGUCGAUUUGGAGGUUGUGCCCUUGAGGCGUGGCUUCCGGAGCUAACGCGUUAAAUCGACCGCCUGGGGAGUACGGCCGCAAGGUUAAAACUCAAAUGAAUUGACGGGGGCCCGCACAAGCGGUGGAGCAUGUGGUUUAAUUCGAUGCAACGCGAAGAACCUUACCUACUCUUGACAUCCAGAGAACUUUCCAGAGAUGGAUUGGUGCCUUCGGGAACUCUGAGACAGGUGCUGCAUGGCUGUCGUCAGCUCGUGUUGUGAAAUGUUGGGUUAAGUCCCGCAACGAGCGCAACCCUUAUCCUUUGUUGCCAGCGAUUCGGUCGGGAACUCAAAGGAGACUGCCGGUGAUAAACCGGAGGAAGGUGGGGAUGACGUCAAGUCAUCAUGGCCCUUACGAGUAGGGCUACACACGUGCUACAAUGGCGUAUACAAAGAGAAGCGAACUCGCGAGAGCAAGCGGACCUCAUAAAGUACGUCGUAGUCCGGAUUGGAGUCUGCAACUCGACUCCAUGAAGUCGGAAUCGCUAGUAAUCGUAGAUCAGAAUGCUACGGUGAAUACGUUCCCGGGCCUUGUACACACCGCCCGUCACACCAUGGGAGUGGGUUGCAAA
rnacentral:rRNA from 1 species